AAAACCGAAAGGUGAGGUAUAUGGGCUGACGCCUGCCCGGUGCUGGAAGGUUAAGGGGAGAGGUUAGCGCAAGCGAAGCUUUGAACUUAAGCCCCAGUAAACGGCGGCCGUAACUAUAACGGUCCUAAGGUAGCGAAAUUCCUUGUCGGGUAAGUUCCGACCCGCACGAAAGGCGUAAUGAUUUGAGCGCUGUCUCGACAAUGCACCCGGUGAAAUUGAAGUACCAGUGAAGAUGCUGGUUACCUGCGCCAGGACGGAAAGACCCCAUGGAGCUUUACUCCAGUCUGGUACUGGGACUCGGUAUUGCAUGUACAGGAUAGGUGGGAGGCUAGGAGAUGGUAACGCCAGUUGCCAUGGAGCCGCUGUUGGGAUACCACCCUUGCAGUAUUGGGUUUCUAACCAGCCGCCGUGACCCGGCGGUGGGACAAUGCCAGACGGGGAGUUUGACUGGGGCGGUCGCCUCCGAAAGGGUAUCGGAGGCGCUCAAAGGUUCCCUCAGAAUGGACGGAAACCAUUCGAAGAGUGCAAAGGCAGAAGGGAGCUUGACUGCGACACCGACGGGUGGAGCAGGUACGAAAGUAGGACUUAGUGAUCCGGUGGUAUGAAAGUGGGAUUGCCAUCGCUCAACGGAUAAAAGCUACCCUGGGGAUAACAGGCUUAUCACUCCCAAGAGUUCACAUCGACGGAGUGGUUUGGCACCUCGAUGUCGGCUCAUCGCAUCCUGGAGCUGUAGCAGGUUCCAAGGGUUGGGCUGUUCGCCCAUUAAAGCGGUACGCGAGCUGGGUUCAGAACGUCGUGAGACAGUUCGGUCCCUAUCCGGCGCAGGCGGAGGAAAUUUGAUAGGAGCUGUCCUUAGUACGAGAGGACCGGGAUGGACGGACCGCUGGUGUAUCUGUUGUACUGCCAAGUGCAUAGCAGAGUAGCCAAGUCUGGAAGGGAUAAACGCUGAAGGCAUCUAAGCGUGAAGCCCCCCUAAAGAUAAGAUUUCCCAUACCGAAAGGUAGUAAGACCCCUUGAAGACGACGAGGUAGAUAGGGCAGAGGUGGAAGUACGGUAACGUAUGGAGCUGACUGUUACUAAUCGGUCGAGGCUUUAACCAA
rnacentral:rRNA from 1 species